AACAAACGCUGGCGGCGUGCCUAACACAUGCAAGUCGUACGAGAAAGUUCGCUUCGGCGGAUGAGUAGAGUGGCGCACGGGUGAGUAACACGUGGAUAAUCUACCCUUCAGUUGGGAAUAACUCAUCGAAAGGUGGGCUAAUACCGAAUAAUGCUGCGCAACGCAGGUUGUGUAGCCAAAGAUGGCCUCUGCUUGCAAGCUGUCGCUGAAGGAUGAGUCCGCGCACCAUUAGCUGGUUGGUAGGGUAAUGGCCUACCAAGGCGACGAUGGUUAGCUGGUCUGAGAGGAUGAUCAGCCACACUGGAACUGAGACACGGUCCAGACUCCUACGGGUGGCAG
rnacentral:rRNA from 1 species